UACGGGGGGGGCAAGCGUUGUUCGGAAUUACUGGGCGUAAAGGGCUCGUAGGCGGCCAACUAAGUCGGAUGUGAAAUCCCCAGGCUCAACUUGGGAACUGCAUCCGAUACUGGAUGGCUUGAAUUCGGGAGAGGGAUGCAGAAUUCCAGGUGUAGCGGUGAAAUGCGUAGAUAUCGAGAGGAACACCGGUGGCGAAGGCGGCGACCUGGACGAUGACUGACGCUGAGACGCGAAAGCGUGGGGAGCAAACAGG
rnacentral:rRNA from 1 species